CCCUAUGGGGUGCACCAGGGGUCGAAAGAAAUCCUCUUCGCGAUCAUCUCGACCACAAUCACGCUGGCCUCGGUGUUUCUGCCCAUCAUGUUCCUUCAGGGUCUCACGGGACGGCUGUUCCGGGAGUUCGGCGUGGUCGUGGCCGGCGCCGUGCUGAUUUCCGCCUUCGUGUCGCUGACCUUGACGCCCAUGAUGAGCGCGCGGAUAUUGCACAAAUCGACCCAUGAAAACAAGCUGUUCGCCGCCAGCGAGAGGUGGUUCAAUCGCCUGAUCGGCGGUUACCAGCGGACAUUGCGCGCCUUCACCGGACGGUUGUGGGUGGCGCCGAUAAUCAUGGCCGCCUCGGUGGCGAUCAUCUUCGGCCUCGGGUCGCUUCUGCGUUCGGAAUUGGCGGGAGGGC
rnacentral:rRNA from 1 species